CCUACGGGAGGCAGCAGUGAGGAAUAUUGGUCAAUGGGCGAGAGCCUGAACCAGCCAAGUCGCGUGAGGGAGUACUGCCCUAUGGGUUGUAAACCUCUUUUGUCGGGGAGCAAAAGCCGGACGUGUCCGGCUGUGAGAGUACCCGAAGAAAAAGCAUCGGCUAACUCCGUGACAGCAGCCGCGGUAAUACGGAGGAUGCGAGCGUUAUCCGGAUUUAUGGGGUUUAAAGGGUGCGCAGGCGGAUUUUUAAGUCAGCGGUCAAAUCGUGGGGCUCAACCCCAUCCAGCCGUUGAAACUGGGGAUCUAGAGUGUGCGAGAGGUAUGCGGAAUGCGUGGUGUAGCGGUGAAAUGCAUAGAUAUCACGCAGAACCCCGAUUGCGAAGGCAGCAUACCGGUGCACAACUGACGCUCAGGCACGAAAGCGUGGGUAUCGAACAGGAUUAGAUACCCCGGUAGUC
rnacentral:rRNA from 1 species